rnacentral:rRNA from 1 species
GUCUGGUGUCAGCCGCCGCGGUAAUACCAGCUCCUCGAGUGGUCGGGACGAUUAUUGGGCCUAAAGCACCCGUAGCCGGUUCCGUAAGUCCUCUGUUAAAUCCAGCCGCUCAACGGCUGGCCUGCAGAGGAUACUGCGAGACUAGGAGGCGGGAGAGGCGGACGGUACUCCGCGUGUAGGGGUAAAAUCCUUUGAUCCGCGGAAGACCACCAGUGGCGAAGGCGGUCCGCCAGAACGCGCUCGACGGUGAGGGGUGAAAGCUGGGGGAGCGAACCGGAUUAGAUACCCGGGUAGUCCCAGCCGUAAACGAUGCGAGCUAGAUGAUUCGAUCGCAUAACGCGAUCGAAGUGUCGCAGGGAAGCCGUUAAGCUCGCCGCCUGGGGAGUACGGUCGCAAGGCUGAAUUAUUGUCGGAGUCUUCCGGCAG